GACGAACCGUGCGAACGUUAUUCGGAAUCACUGGGCUUAAAGCGCGUGUAGGCGGGACGGCACGUCGGUCGCUGAAAUCCCCCGGCUUAACCGGGGAACUGGCGUCGAUACGACCGUCCUGGAGGGGCGUAGGGGGACCUGGAACUUCCGGUGGAGCGGUGAAAUGCGUUGAGAUCGGAAGGAACGCCCGUGGCGAAAGCGAGGUCCUGGACGCCUACUGACGCUGAGACGCGAAAGCGUGGGGAGCGAACAGG
rnacentral:rRNA from 1 species